CAGCCGCCACGGUAAUACGUAGGGUGCAAGCGUUAAUCGGAAUUACUGGGCGUAAAGCGUGCGCAGGCGGUUUGUUAAGACAGAUGUGAAAUCCCCGGGCUUAACCUGGGAACUGCAUUUGUGACUGGCAAGCUAGAGUAUGGCAGAGGGGGGUGGAAUUCCGCGUGUAGCAGUGAAAUGCGUAGAUAUGCGGAGGAACACCGAUGGCGAAGGCAGCCCCCUGGGCCAAUACUGACGCUCAUGCACGAAAGCGUGGGGAGCAAACAGGAUUAGAUACCCCAGUAGUCCCUGUCUCUUAUAC
rnacentral:rRNA from 1 species